UAGCAUAGUGAAACUAAAUAGUAUUUGUCUGACUGGAAUUUUCCAUUUCAUUUAUAAAUCCACAUACAGUGACAUCAUUUAAUGCAUCUUCUUCACAAGUCUAGUCUAUGAGGGCAAGAGAUGUUCCCUUAAAUUUGAAGAUGGGAUCACACUAGAUGAAGCGACCAUUUCAUAUCAAGAAGGAUCCAAUAAAGCUGCCCUCUCCUCUCCCAGCUUAACUAAAAAUAUGCCAUGAGAGAGAGGCAAGCAAAUGGUGUUCAUAGUAGUCGACAAACUAUGAAGUGACAAACAAUGAUAUUCAAAUUCAAAGCCAUAACUUCAACAUCUGAAUCACAUGUUACAAAGGCCAGAAGUUUUUCUUCUCCAGUGGAGUAUAAAGCAUUCAAAACGUUUUUAUCUUGUAGCACUGUAUUUUCAUCCUAUGUCAACAGAAAUGAUUAUAUUCAAUGAUAGCACAUAUGAAACAGAAGCCUAGAGUGACUUCUGAAGCAGAUGGUCAAGGCACAGGACAACUCAGAGACUAGGGUCAAACCAGAGAUCUUUGGUACCAACUUGAAUCUGAAUAUCUUAUUGAUUGAUUUAUACGAAUAGACUGCACAAUAUUUGUAUAUUUCUAUACAAUACCCACUGGAUCAAUCCCCAAA